GUCUAUGAUUAUAUCACUCUGAAUGUGCCCAAUCUCAUCUAAUCUUAGAAGCGAAGCAGGGUGGGGUCUGGUUGGUACUUGGAUGAGUGGAUAUGAAAGAAGAUGAGGAACGUGAUCA
rnacentral:rRNA from 1 species